GGAAAGACAAAUAUGACAUAAAAAAGAAAAGAGACUAAAGACAUCAGUGACUUCUCUCCUCUCCAUUCCAUAGGAGCCUAGAACCAUGAAGCUCUUCCUUGUAGCUUUCCUAAUGGCUCUCCUGGCUAUCCAGGCUAGAGCUGACUCUUCAUCUGAAGAGGUAAGACAUUUUCAAAUAAAUGCUAAGCAGUUUAAUAUUCAGUAACAUGUAUCCUUAAAAAUAUUUUCUCUUUGUUUGAACAGAGAUAUUUUGGUUGGCGUCGUCCCUAUCCGCCAUAUUUUAGAAGAUUUGCUCUGAGGUCUCCAUCUCCUAGAAAUUUUGGAUAUCCUUCAACGGGUCGAUAUCCUGGAUUUCCUGGACAUCCUCCAAAUCCAUAUGAUCACAAUCUUGAAAAUCUCCCAUAUUAUGCAGAUGCUGAAGAUGCUGCUAAUGCAGCCCCAGAAGCACCUCAAUAAACACAGGUAAAGAUAAGCUGUGCUUACUGAAAUCAUGGCGGAUGGUGGGGUGAAAAGAAUACCGGAUUUCGCCGUUAAAACCUCUGGUUGAACUUCCAAUUUCCCCCUCAAUAGCUGAAUGACCUGGACCAUCCAGAAUCUGAAUGCCUCUUUUCCUGCAGAAGAUUUUGCUGAGACCAUUCUCCAUUGGGUUACCAAAGGAUACGCCUAAAGCUUAGCUGUGACCAUGGUGCUUAUUCAAUUCCCUGCCCCCUCCCAAUAAAUUCUAGUGGUUCUACUAUGUCCA
ensembl:lncRNA